rnacentral:rRNA from 1 species
CCUACGGGCGGCUGCAGUGAGGAAUAUUGGUCAAUGGGCGCUAGCCUGAACCAGCCAAGUAGCGUGAAGGAUGACUGCCCUAUGGGUUGUAAACUUCUUUUAUAUGGGAAUAAAGUGCAGUAUGUAUACUGCUUUGCAUGUACCUUAUGAAUAAGCAUCGGCUAACUCCGUGCCAGCAGCCGCGGUAAUACGGAGGAUCCGAGCGUUAUCCGGAUUUAUUGGGUUUAAAGGGAGCGUAGGCGGGUUGUUAAGUCAGUUGUGAAAGUUUGCGGCUCAACCGUAAAAUUGCAGUUGAUACUGGCAGCCUUGAGUACAGGAGAGGUAGGCGGAAUUCGUGGUGUAGCGGUGAAAUGCUUAGAUAUCACGAAGAACUCCGAUUGCGAAGGCAGCCUGCUGGACUGUAACUGACGCUGAUGCUCGAAAGUGUGGGUAUCAAACAGGAUUAGAUACCCCAGUAGUC